UAUACGUAUAUAGGUAAUAUGCAGGUAUGUAGGUAGGUAAGUAGGUAGGUAGGUAGGCAGGCAAUAGGCAGUAGACCGAUAAAGGCGGACGAGAUCGUGCACAGACGCGUUACACGUCAUUGUUAUUCUCAGGAGAGGAAGAACAGAGGAGAAUGGAGAGCGACAAGAAUUAUGUGUCAACAAAGCAAAUAUUACCGAUGGUCAGAAUAUCCAAAAAAGUAUAACACGGAGAGUAUGACUAUGUUGGCGAAGACUGUUUGAAGAAUCUCUGAAGAAGCCUCGCCUGGUCCUUACGUACUAGCUCUCCAUCCUGGGAUUUCCUUCUCACCCUCGUGAGCGCGUAUCCUCUGGCGUUUCUGAUUCAUAUCAGUUGUUUAGUUUGGAGCUGACACAUCGAAGGCUUAGGGUGUUAGUUAGUCUCUUUAUGAGAUAGUCCGCAUUGUAAUGUUUACAACAUGGGAGAAGGUGUGCGAUCCGAGUCACAAACACGUAUAUAUAAUAAAUAUUUUCCAAAAAUUAUAAAGUACCAUAAAAUAAAAAGAAAUAAAAGUACUGUUUUAAGUUGCGUAAAUUCAAUUGUAAACAGUAAUGUUCAAAAUGUAAAUCCGAUAGAAAAUGUAUGACUACGUCCUACCGUCCCGUACCGGUACUUUUGCCAAAACCAUUUUCCAAUAGAAAUUCCACACACACACACACACAACUUUAUUAUAUAUUACUUAUUAUAUUAUUAGUAAGAAAGUAUUAUUAUAUAUUACUUAUGUAUAUCCCAAAUAAACAAGAAAUUUCUAUUGGAAAAUGGUUUUGGCAAAACUACCGUUAGGGGACGAUACGACGUAGUCAUACAUUUUCUAUGGGAUUUACAUUUUGAAUAUUACAGUUUAUAAUUGAGUUUAAGUCGCUCAAAAACGACUUAUUUUAUA